GCUAAAUCUUGCAGCCAGACUUCCGGAUCGAAUUGUGAAGCCUGACUUAGUCCCUAAGAUGUACAAUGCAUAUGGCUCAGCAGCGUACCCGAAGGAAGGAACGACCAAUCUACAUCUCGACAUGUCUGAUGCAGUGAAUGUCAUGGGCGCCUUGUGGCACAUCUUUGCUGCAGAGGAUGCGCCAAAGAUUCGACAGUUGUUACUGAAAGUGAGUCGAGAGAGAGGCAUGGAGUGUGAGGCAGACAACGAUCCUAUACACGAUCAGGUUUUGUGUAUUAUGAAGAGCAGUCGGGUGUGGUUAGUUUGAAGUGUGUGUGUGUGUGUGUGUGUGUGUGUGUGUGUGUGUGUGUGUGUCUGUGUUUGUGUCUGUGUGUGUGUCUGUGUGUGUCUGUGUGUGUGUCUGUGUGUGUGUCUGUGUGUGUGUGUGUGUGUGUGUGUGUGUGUGUCUGUGUGUGUGUGUGUGUGUGUGUGUGUGUGUGUGUGUGUGUGUGUGUGUGUGUGUGUGUGUGUGUGUGUGUGUGCGUCUGUGUGUGUGUCUGUGUGUGUCUGUGUGUGUCUGUGUGUCUGUGUGUCUGUGUGUGUGUUGUUGUUGUUGUAGUGCUUUUACUUGGACAAGGAACUUUGAGAGAGGUUGCGUAGAGAGUAUGGAGUAGAAGGGUGGGCUAUUGCUCAGUGCGUUGGUGAUGCUAUCUUUCUUCCUGCCGGCACUCCGCAUCAGGAAAUCUACAUAGUUGCAAAAAGAUAGCAGAAGAUUUUGAAUCACCAGAACAUUUAGCUCAUUGUCUCAUGUUGACUCAUGAGUUUCGCCGACUGUCGGACACACAUACUAGUCACGAAGACAAAUUACAGAUCAAGAACAUUAUAUACCAUUCGGUGAAGGACUCGGCCGGAGUAUUACUGAGCGAACAAUAGCAGCACAGCGACGGAUGCCGAUUCUCAUGUAAUCGCUUUAAUCCUUUAAUGCAGACGGUCUUCUACUGUUGUCUUCCUACAUCUUUCCAGGAGUCUGAUAUGGCGGUCGCUCACUACAGUAGUAGACUAGCUGCUUGUGCUCAGAGCUGGCACGAUGAGAAUGUUUGGAGUUUUGAGCUACCUUGUGGGCAUGCCUAGUAGUUGCACUGCAGGAUGUGGUGGGUCAGACUCUCUGCUAAGCCUCACUUUUAUGUGAAGUAACACGGUCUUCUUUCUCUUUUCAUCUUUGUUCUGCCUUUUGUAAAGUUUGAUGAAACCAGAAAACAUGGAUUAGAGUUAUAAAACAGACAGUAAGGUUGA